rnacentral:rRNA from 1 species
GACGAACGCUGGCGGUGUGCUUAACACAUGCAAGUCGAACGGAAAGGCCCUGCUUUUGUGGGGUGCUCGAGUGGCGAACGGGUGAGUAACACGUGAGUAACCUGCCCUUGACUUUGGGAUAACUUCAGGAAACUGGGGCUAAUACCGGAUAGGAGCUCCUGCUGCAUGAUGGGGGUUGGAAAGUUUCGGCGGUUGGGGAUGGACUCGCGGCUUAUCAGCUUGUUGGUGGGGUAGUGGCUUACCAAGGCUUUGACGGGUAGCCGGCCUGAGAGGGUGACCGGCCACAUUGGGACUGAGAUACGGCCCAGACUCCUACGGGAGGCAGCAGUGGGGAAUAUUGCACAAUGGGCGGAAGCCUGAUGCAGCAACGCCGCGUGCGGGAUGACGGCCUUCGGGUUGUAAACCGCUUUCGCCUGUGACGAAGCGUAAGUGACGGUAAUGGGUAAAGAAGCACCGGCUAACUACGUGCCAGCAGCCGCGGUGAUACGUAGGGUGCGAGCGUUGUCCGGAUUUAUUGGGCGUAAAGGGCUCGUAGGUGGUUGAUCGCGUCGGAAGUGUAAUCUUGGGGCUUAACCCUGAGCGUGCUUUCGAUACGGGUUGACUUGAGGAAGGUAGGGGAGAAUGGAAUUCCUGGUGGAGCGGUGGAAUGCGCAGAUAUCAGGAGGAACACCAGUGGCGAAGGCGGUUCUCUGGGCCUUUCCUGACGCUGAGGAGCGAAAGCGUGGGGAGCGAACAGGCUUAGAUACCCUGGUAGUCCACGCUGUAAACGGUGGGUACUAGGUGUGGGGUCCAUUCCACGGGUUCCGUGCCGUAGCUAACGCUUUAAGUACCCCGCCUGGGGAGUACGGCCGCAAGGCUAAAACUCAAAGGAAUUGACGGGGCCCCGCACAAGCGGCGGAGCAUGCGGAUUAAUUCGAUGCAACGCGUAGAACCUUACCUGGGUUUGACAUGGAUCGGGAGUGCUCAGAGAUGGGUGUGCCUCUUUUGGGGUCGGUUCACAGGUGGUGCAUGGCUGUCGUCAGCUCGUGUCGUGAGAUGUUGGGUUAAGUCCCGCAACGAGCGCAACCCUUGUUCACUGUUGCCAGCACGUUAUGGUGGGGACUCAGUGGAGACCGCCGGGGUCAACUCGGAGGAAGGUGGGGAUGACGUCAAGUCAUCAUGCCCCUUAUGUCCAGGGCUUCACGCAUGCUACAAUGGCUGGUACAGAGAGUGGCGAGCCUGUGAGGGUGAGCGAAUCUCGGAAAGCCGGUCUCAGUUCGGAUUGGGGUCUGCAACUCGACCUCAUGAAGUCGGAGUCGCUAGUAAUCGCAGAUCAGCAACGCUGCGGUGAAUACGUUCCCGGG